rnacentral:rRNA from 1 species
GAUGAACGCUGGCGGCGUGCUUAACACAUGCAAGUCGAACGGAAAGGCCCAAGCUUGCUUGGGUACUCGAGUGGCGAACGGGUGAGUAACACGUGGGUGAUCUGCCCUGCACUUCGGGAUAAGCCUGGGAAACUGGGUCUAAUACCGGAUAGGACCACAUUUUGGAUGGUGUGGUGGAAAGUUUUUCGGUGUGGGAUGAGCUCGCGGCCUAUCAGCUUGUUGGUGGGGUAAUGGCCUACCAAGGCGUCGACGGUUAGCCGGCCUGAGAGGGUGUACGGCCACAUUGGGACUGAGAUACGGCCCAGACUCCUACGGGAGGCAGCAGUGGGGAAUAUUGCACAAUGGGCGCAAGCCUGAUGCAGCGACGCCGCGUGGGGGAUGACGGCCUUCGGGUUGUAAACUCCUUUCGCUAGGGACGAAGCGUUUUUGUGACGGUACCUGGAGAAGAAGCACCGGCUAACUACGUG